CGGGAGGCUAUGUGUCCUCUGGGCCAGUCCGGCCUCCCGUCUGCAGCCGAGGAGGCCCACCUCCCAGGAGGCCCCUGGCCCUGCUGCCCUGUGGGCCCGACUGACCCUGGCCCCUCACCCAGGACACCCUCACGGAGAUCUCCGAGUGGCUGGAGCAGCACCCCCGGGAGGUGGUCAUCCUGGCCUGCAGGAACUUCGAGGGGAUGACGGAGGACCUGCAUGAGUACCUGGUGGCCUGCAUCAGGAACAUCUUUGGGGACAUGCUGUGCCCCCGAGGGGUGAGGAGGGUGCCUGUGCCCCAGGGCUCUCCUGGGCACUGUGUCCAGGGCUUGGUGUGUGUGUCUGGUCUGGCGGGGACAAGCCGGUCAUCAGGGCCUUCUGGCUUCCCUGUGAGGGGGGCCGGGCAGCCUGGCAGGGAGGGCCUCUGGGGCGAGCGUGCAGCAACGCGAUGGUCUGUGUCACCCACCGGGCACUUGGCUGGGUCUCGGUGCCCUCACCUGGCACCCAGCCGGGGCUCAGGACACGAGACGCAGCCCUGGAGGCCAGAGGCCAGCCCCGGUGCUGACUGGGGUCCCGAGAGGAUGCGGCCACCUUCCAGCUGCUGGGGGUGUCCCGCUGUGGCCCUGGCAUCCCAUGUGUCUGUGCCCAACACCCCCUUUGACAGCACGGGGCACCCGUCACGGGAUUAGGGCCUGGCCCCUCCAGAGUGACCCAUGCAGCUGAUGAGACCCGCAAAGCCCUUCCCAGUAGGUCCCGGGUGGGGGCUUGGAGCGUGGGCUGGGGACACAGGUCGCCCUCAGCACAGCCAGGGGUCAGCUGUAGUAGGUCCUGCAUCCGGGCCAGUCCCUGCAGGUGCCCUUGUGGGUCUCAGGGCCCUGGGUCACUGCAGGUGCCCUCCUGGGACACUAAGCCACGGCGUCACCUCAGAGGCACAGUGCCGGGCGGGCCACCCAGCCCCAGGCUCCCCUCACCCGGCACCCCACCCCAGUGACCCCAUCCCUUGCAGGAGCUGCCCACGCUGCGGCAGCUGUGGGCGCGGGGCCAGCAGGUCCUGCUCUCCUACGAGGACGAGGCCUCGGUGCGGCGGCACCCGGAGCUGUGGCCGGGAGUCCCCUACUGGUGGGGCAACAAGGUGAAGUCCGAGGCCCUGAUCCGCUACCUGGAGGACAUGAAGAGCUGCGGCCGCCCGGGUAGGAGGCCGGCCCUCCCGGGCCCACGGAGGGGACGGUCAAGGAGGCGGCCUGGCCGGCGUCCCCUCACGCUCGUGUCCCGCAGGGGGCCUGUUCGUGGCCGGCACCAACCUCACCGAGGACCUGGAGUACGUGCUGGCGCACCCGGCCGGGUCCCUGAAGGAGGUGACCCUGUCCAGCCUGCCCGCGCUCAGCGCCUGGGUCCGCGAGCAGAGCCCGGGGCCCGGCGCCCGCUGCACCAACAUCAUCGCCGGCGACUUCGUGGGCGCCGACAGCUUCGUCGGCGACGUCAUCGGGCUCAACCAGAAGCUGCUGUGGGGCUGACGGUCCCCUCCGGUCAGCCGGGGGCAGCCCGGGGGCAGCCCUAACCCCGGCUGGGCGGGCACUGCUCCAGAUCCCGCGAGAAGACGUCCUCCGAGCUCCAGAUCCCGCGAGAAGACCUCAAUCCAAGGGAUGUGCCUGUGGUCAGGGGUGACCACGGGGUGGGUCCAGCGGGUGUGUCCCGGGCAGUCCCGACCACGGGGUGGGUCCAACGGAAGUGCCCUGGUCAGCCAUGGAUGUGCUCAUGGGCAUGGCCAUCAUGAUGGGUCCAGCAGAUUUGUCUGUGGUCAACGAUGACAACUGGGAUGGGUCCAGCGGGUGUGCCCUGGUCAGCCGCGACCAAGGGAUGGCUCCAACGAAUGUGCUGUGGUCAACCAUGACUGUUGGGAUAGGCCAGUGGGCGCACCCUGGUCAGCCAUGACCAUGGGGAUGUGUCCAGCGGUGUGCCCUGGUCAGCCAUGACCAUGGGGAUGUGUCCAGCGGUGUGCCCUGGUCACCGAGGCCUACUCAACCCAGCGGGAAGCAUGGCCUGUGCAGGGUGGGGAUGCCAGGAGAGGGGUCAGGGCCUCCUCAUCCUGUGCUUUAGAAAGUCCCCGCUUCCAAGAGUGUCGCGUCCCCUGGACGGAUGGGGUGGGGACCUGUGCAGAGACCCUCUUGCAGUACUCAACACAUGGCCUGGCUGUCAGCUCACUCUGACGCCGCCCUUUCCCCGGGCAGCAGGCUCCUGGGGACCCUGGUCCAUCUUGCUUUGGCCAGCUGUUAGUGGAGGGCCUGAGGGGUGGCCAGUGGGCGGUCCUGCAUCUGCAGGCCCCACAGUGUCACGGGUGGUGUGGUCUGUGUUCUAGUCUCUGCAUCCUGGAGCUCGGGCGCCUGGACUUGCAGGCCGGGGUGGGGGGGGGGACUGUCCCCAGAGGUCAGAGGCUCCUGAGACCCCGCCCCUUGCAGGCUGGCUUCUCCAGGGCCAGCGUUUCCUAGACCCUCCUGGUGGGCACCUGCUGCUGGAGGCCCUGGGCACUGAAGGAGCCCAACCCGGGCUGUUUCCCAGCCUCCUGCCCACUGGGCAGGCCCGGGCAAGGCUGGGGGCUCCCUGGGCGCUGGCCCUGCAGGCGCCGGUGACUGGGUCAAUCUGGACCUCCCGCAGCUGCUGUGGCUGGGGUGCCACCUCCCGGUCCCAGGUCCCUUUAAACCCCGCAGGUGGCCGAGAGGCCUGGUCCUGCAGCCUGCCGCAGCCCUGCAGAGCCGGUGUUCCCUGGCCAUCUGGAUGCCCACGACGCGUCACGGCACCCGUUACGGGCAGUCCUGCCGUCAAAGAAGGGCGCAGACCCGGGUGUUCAGGACCGUCUGGAAAUGGCGCCCUGGUCUGCGAAGCCUGUUGCACUUGGGACCCGCAGGGUGGUUUCAGAGGAAGCUGCUCGGGCUUUGUGGUCACCUGUCAUGGCCGUGUCACGGCCGAGACGCGGCACAGCAGGACCAGCUCUGGGCACAUCCCAGCACUGCCUGGCCCCUCCCCGCCACCAAGCACCCUGGGGACAGCCCUUGGAUGCUCAGGUCACAAGGGCGUCAUUUCCUGUCUUAGGAGCCACCAUUCAGGGUUAGUCCACCCUUGAGGACAAUUAAAAGGAACCAAGCCAAACACGAGUGACUGUGGUGCCAGACU
rnacentral:lncRNA from 1 species